rnacentral:rRNA from 1 species
UACGUAGGGAGCAAGCGUUGUCCGGAAUCAUUGGGCGUAAAGCGCGCGUAGGUGGCCCCGUAAGUCCGCUGUGAAAGUCAAAGGCUCAACCUUUGAAAGCCGGUGGAUACUGCGAGGCUAGAGUGCGGAAGAAGCGAGUGGAAUUCCUGGUGUAGCGGUGGAAUGCGCAGAUAUCAGGAGGAACACCAAUAGCGAAGGCAGCUCGCUGGGACGUUACUGACACUGAGGCGCGAAAGCGUGGGGAGCGAACAGG